AUACGUAGGGAGCGAGCGUUGUCCGGAAUUACUGGGUGUAAAGGGCGUGUAGGCGGAGAUGCAAGUCAGGAGUGAAAUCUAGGGGCUCAACCCCUAAACUGCUUUUGAAACUGUAUCCCUUGAGUAUCGGAGAGGCAGGCGGAAUUCCUAGUGUAGCGGUGGAAUGCGUAGAUAUUAGGAGGAACACCAGUGGCGAAGGCGGCCUGCUGGACGACAACUGACGCUGAGGCGCGAAAGCGUGGGGAGCAAACAGGAUUAGAUACCCUGGUAGUCCACGCUGUAAACGAUGAAUACUAGGUGUGGGGGGACUGACCCCCUCCGUGCCGCAGUUAACACAAUAAGUAUUCCACCUGGGGAGUACGAUCGCAAGAUUGAAACUCAAAUGAAUUGACGGGG
rnacentral:rRNA from 1 species